rnacentral:rRNA from 1 species
GUAAUGCCGGAUGCUCCAGUUGAUCGCAUGGUCUUCUGGGAAAGCUUUCGCGGUAUGGGAUGGGGUCGCGUCCUAUCAGCUUGACGGCGGGGUAACGGCCCACCGUGGCUUCGACGGGUAGCCGGCCUGAGAGGGCGACCGGCCACAUUGGGACUGAGAUACGGCCCAGACUCCUACGGGAGGCAGCAGUGGGGAAUAUUGCACAAUGGGCGCAAGCCUGAUGCAGCGACGCCGCGUGAGGGAUGGAGGCCUUCGGGUUGUAAACCUCUUUUAUCGGGGAGCAAGCGAGAGUGAGUUUACCCGUUGAAUAAGCACCGGCUAACUACGUGCCAGCAGCCGCGGUAAUACGUAGGGUGCAAGCGUUAUCCGGAAUUAUUGGGCGUAAAGGGCUCGUAGGCGGUUCGUCGCGUCCGGUGUGAAAGUCCAUCGCUUAACGGUGGAUCCGCGCCGGGUACGGGCGGGCUUGAGUGCGGUAGGGGAGACUGGAAUUCCCGGUGUAACGGUGGAAUGUGUAGAUAUCGGAAAAGA